rnacentral:rRNA from 1 species
UACGUAGGAGGCAAGUGUUGUCCGGAGUUACUGGGCGUAAAGCGUGUGUAGGCGGUCGUGCAUGUCUGGUGUGAAAUCUCCUGGCUUACCUGGGAGGGGGCAGCGGAAACGGCACGACUUGAGGGCAGCAGAGGCCAGUAGAACUCCCGGUGGACCAGUGAAAUGGGUAGAGAUCGGGAAGAAUACCAGUGGUGCAGACGGCUGGCUGGGAUGUCCCUGACGCUGAGACACGAAAGCAUGGGGAGCAAACAGG